rnacentral:lncRNA from 1 species
ACCACACUUACCGUUUGUGUUACAUACUUGCUCAGGUAAAUACAUUUUGACUUAUUUUCCCUAUACGGGCUUGGGGUACGGUAUUUAAAAUACCGCUUGAUCGGGCGCACAAGUCCUGCGCCUUAUGGGUGUACUAUACGAAAAUAGGCUGGCUGUUUUCCUAAGAGCGUCCACUAUAGUCUCGCAAGCUCGGACGACAAAUAUCUGUUGAACUGUUUAUUCUCAUUUUUAUUUGAUCCGCCUGUGGAUCCGU